rnacentral:lncRNA from 1 species
UUCGUCACGCCAGCCCCCAUCAACGGCGAGUUCGGGCAGGCUUGGCUGGCUCCCUCGUCGAUUUGGCAUGGCGGCCUUGGGUGUAACGAAGGGGUGACGACGAUAACGGGCACACACCGCGGGAAGGCAGCCGGGAUCAGUGCAGCGUCAGUGGAGACGACCACCAACUUCGAGCGGAUCCGCCGUAGCCAGCCACGAGAGCGCCCCUCCAUCAUAGAUCCAACGGUAGCAGCGGCAGAGUCAGGUGUGGAUUUGCCAUUUGACGGUGACAGCAGGGAGCAGAUCCACUAUUGCCAGCCCUGGGAAGGCCUCUCCCUCAGAGAUCCAGCGGCGGCGGCAAGGGGUGGCACGGAUCAGCCAUUGCUGACCUCUAGAGCAUCCCUUCCUCGCAGAUUCAGCGACAGCGACAGGGUGAGGUGCGGAUCCACCAUUGCUGGCCUCAAGAACGCCACUCCCUUCAGAUCCGCGGGUAGGGGGAGGCGUGGAUCCGUCAGCGUCGGGAGCGCCCUUCCCUCAUGGAUAUAG